rnacentral:rRNA from 1 species
UCGGGAAUUUUGGACAAUGGGCGAAAGCCUGACCCAGCAACGCCGCGUGAAGGAUGAAGUAUUUCGGUAUGUAAACUUCGUAAGAAUAGGAAGAAUAAAUGACGGUACUAUUUGUAAGGUCCGGCUAACUACGUGCCAGCAGCCGCGGUAAUACGUAGGGACCAAGCGUUGUUCGGAUUUACUGGGCGUAAAGGGCGCGUAGGCGGUGUGUCAAGUCAGUUGUGAAAUCUCCGAGCUUAACUCGGAACGGUCAACUGAUACUGUCACACUAGAGUACAGAAGGGGCAAUCGGAAUUCUUGGUGUAGCGGUGAAAUGCGUAGAUAUCAAGAGGAACACCUGAGGCGAAGGCGGGUUGCUGGGCUGAUACUGACGCUGAGGCGCGAAAGCUAGGGUAGCAAACGGGAUUAGAUACCCACGUAGUCCCUGAGCGGGCUGGCAAGGCGCAU